AUGAACGCUAGCUACAGGCUUAACACAUGCAAGUCGAGGGGCAGCAUGGUCUUAGCUUGCUAAGGCCGAUGGCGACCGGCGCACGGGUGAGUAACACGUAUCCAACCUGCCGUCUACUCUUGGACAGCCUUCUGAAAGGAAGAUUAAUACAAGAUGGCAUCAUGAGUCCGCAUGUUCACAUGAUUAAAGGUAUUCCGGUAGACGAUGGGGAUGCGUUCCAUUAGAUAGUAGGCGGGGUAACGGCCCACCUAGUCUUCGAUGGAUAGGGGUUCUGAGAGGAAGGUCCCCCACAUUGGAACUGAGACACGGUCCAAACUCCUACGGGAGGCAGCAGUGAGGAAUAUUGGUCAAUGGGCGAGAGCCUGAACCAGCCAAGUAGCGUGAAGGAUGACUGCCCUAUGGGUUGUAAACUUCUUUUAUAAAGGAAUAAAGUCGGGUAUGGAUACCCGUUUGCAUGUACUUUAUGAAUAAGGAUCGGCUAACUCCGUGCCAGCAGCCGCGGUAAUACGGAGGAUCCGAGCGUUAUCCGGAUUUAUUGGGUUUAAAGGGAGCGUAGAUGGAUGUUUAAGUCAGUUGUGAAAGUUUGCGGCUCAACCGUAAAAUUGCAGUUGAUACUGGAUAUCUUGAGUGCAGUUGAGGCAGGCGGAAUUCGUGGUGUAGCGGUGAAAUGCUUAGAUAUCACGAAGAACUCCGAUUGCGAAGGCAGCCUGCUAAGCUGCAACUGACAUUGAGGCUCGAAAGUGUGGGUAUCAAACAGGAUUAGAUACCCUGGUAGUCCACACGGUAAACGAUGAAUACUCGCUGUUUGCGAUAUACUGCAAGCGGCCAAGCGAAAGCGUUAAGUAUUCCACCUGGGGAGUACGCCGGCAACGGUGAAACUCAAAGGAAUUGACGGGGGCCCGCACAAGCGGAGGAACAUGUGGUUUAAUUCGAUGAUACGCGAGGAACCUUACCCGGGCUUAAAUUGCAGAUGAAUUACGGUGAAAGCCGUAAGCCGCAAGGCAUCUGUGAAGGUGCUGCAUGGUUGUCGUCAGCUCGUGCCGUGAGGUGUCGGCUUAAGUGCCAUAACGAGCGCAACCCUUGUUGUCAGUUACUAACAGGUUCCGCUGAGGACUCUGACAAGACUGCCAUCGUAAGAUGUGAGGAAGGUGGGGAUGACGUCAAAUCAGCACGGCCCUUACGUCCGGGGCUACACACGUGUUACAAUGGGGGGUACAGAAGGCAGCUACACGGCGACGUGAUGCUAAUCCCGAAAGCCUCUCUCAGUUCGGAUUGGAGUCUGCAACCCGACUCCACGAAGCUGGAUUCGCUAGUAAUCGCGCAUCAGCCACGGCGCGGUGAAUACGUUCCCGGGCCUUGUACACACCGCCCGUCAAGCCAUGGGAGCCGGGGGUACCUGAAGUGCGUAACCGCGAGGAGCGCCCUAGGGUAAAACUGGUGACUGGGGCU
rnacentral:rRNA from 1 species